AGAAUGGCUGGUAGCACAGUCCUGAGAGAAGAAGGAAAGAAAGGAAAAAAAAAAAAGAAAGAAGAAGAAACCUCAGCGAGACGAUAAACAUAAGCGCCAUGUCUGGCUAUGCAGAUAAACUGGAAGUAUUUGUAACAGCAGAUCAACACAACAGUGCUGAGGUGUAAGAAGCAGUGGAUAUCUGACUGGCAUUCUGACCUUGGAACUUGUGUGUGAGGGGAGUCGGAUUUUGAGGCUUCCAGGCUCCACGUGCAGCGGCUGGGAAGGUCGGGCCGGAUCCAUUUCCUUUCGGGAGAAGAAUGCUUUGUUUUGAUCUGAAUGUUUCUGGCUGCCUCCUGCGACUCCUCCUCCGUCUUCAGGUUCUCAACUCCGUUCUUGACUUUGUUCUCUCCGUUGCUGAAGCCGUGCAGCUUGCCAGCGUGUGGGCACACGGGGCUCUUGACUGUGGUCUCUUUGGAUGAA